UGGCCGUAAACGAUACUCGCUAGGUGUCGGCCACGGUGCGACCGUUGUCGGUGCCGUAGGGAAGCCGUGAAGCGAGCCACCUGGGAAGUACGGCCGCAAGGCUGAAACUUAAAGGAAUUGGCGGGGGAGCACAACAACGGGUGGAGCUUGCGGUUUAAUUGGAUUCAACGCCGGAAAUCUUACCGGGACCGACAGCAACAUGAAGGCCAAGCUGAAGACUUUGCCGGAUUAGCUGAGAGGAGGUGCAUGGCGUAGUCGUGU
rnacentral:rRNA from 1 species